GGGGGGGCGUGCAUAUACAUGCAGUCGAACGAACUCUGGUAUUGAUUGGUGCUUGCAUCAUGAUUUACAUUUGAGUGAGUGGCGAACUGGUGAGUAACACGUGGGAAACCUGCCCAGAAGCGGGGGAUAACACCUGGAAACAGAUGCUAAUACCGCAUAACAACUUGGACCGCAUGGUCCGAGUUUGAAAGAUGGCUUCGGCUAUCACUUUUGGAUGGUCCCGCGGCGUAUUAGCUAGAUGGUGGGGUAACGGCUCACCAUGGCAAUGAUACGUAGCCGACCUGAGAGGGUAAUCGGCCACAUUGGGACUGAGACACGGCCCAAACUCCUACGGGAGGCAGCAGUAGGGAAUCUUCCACAAUGGACGAAAGUCUGAUGGAGCAACGCCGCGUGAGUGAAGAAGGGUUUCGGCUCGUAAAACUCUGUUGUUAAAGAAGAACAUAUCUGAGAGUAACUGUUCAGGUAUUGACGGUAUUUAACCAGAAAGCCACGGCUAACUACGUGCCAGCAGCCGCGGUAAUACGUAGGUGGCAAGCGUUGUCCGGAUUUAUUGGGCGUAAAGCGAGCGCAGGCGGUUUUUUAAGUCUGAUGUGAAAGCCUUCGGCUCAACCGAAGAAGUGCAUCGGAAACUGGGAAACUUGAGUGCAGAAGAGGACAGUGGAACUCCAUGUGUAGCGGUGAAAUGCGUAGAUAUAUGGAAGAACACCAGUGGCGAAGGCGGCUGUCUGGUCUGUAACUGACGCUGAGGCUCGAAAGUAUGGGUAGCAAACAGGAUUAGAUACCCUGGUAGUCCAUACCGUAAACGAUGAAUGCUAAGUGUUGGAGGGUUUCCGCCCUUCAGUGCUGCAGCUAACGCAUUAAGCAUUCCGCCUGGGGAGUACGGCCGCAAGGCUGAAACUCAAAGGAAUUGACGGGGGCCCGCACAAGCGGUGGAGCAUGUGGUUUAAUUCGAAGCUACGCGAAGAACCUUACCAGGUCUUGACAUACUAUGCAAAUCUAAGAGAUUAGACGUUCCCUUCGGGGACAUGGAUACAGGUGGUGCAUGGUUGUCGUCAGCUCGUGUCCUGAAAUGUUGGGUUAAGUCCCGCAACGAGCGCAACCCUUAUUAUCAGUUGCCAGCAUUAAGUUGGGCCCUCUGGUGAGACUGCCGGUGACAAACCGGAGGAAGGUGGGGAUGACGUC
rnacentral:rRNA from 1 species